rnacentral:tRNA from 1 species
GCAUUGGUGGUUCAGCACCAGAAUUCUAGCUUGCCAUGCGAGAAGCCUGGGCUCGAUUCGCAGCCAGUGCA